rnacentral:misc_RNA from 1 species
UAUUCGUAGGUGAACCUGCGUAUGGAUCAUUACCGUUUGAUAUGUGUAUCAACAUAUCAUAAAUUAUAACUUCGCACAAUCAUAUAUACAUGGUUGUGUCGCACCAUUAUGUAAAUAACAAGUCAUAGUGUAUAUACAUGUGACUUGUUUUACACUUUUCUAAUUCAACAAAUCAUUGUUGUUUUGUCAUUAAAUAUGAAUCGAAUCUAUAUAUACAGAAUUAAAAUAAUUCUGUACGGUGGAUCACUCGGCUCGUUAUUCGAUGAAGAACGCAGC